CCAUCAACCAAAAGAACUGAAACUGGUGAUGAGCUGCACUGAGGAAGAUCCUGCCUCCUUGGCCAUCAGCGCUCAUCCACAAGCAAGUGAGAAGCACACGGGUGGCAUUGAGGAUGCUGCAGAACCAAGUAUGGCAAGAAUUUCACAGUG